AUGUUUAAGCUUCCCAGGGCUGCACUGCCGUUCCAAACAACCCCAGUUACUCUGCAGGCUGUGUGGCACAGCAGGCGUUCUACAGCUUCACCUGGGUGCACAUCCUGGGCUGUGGUGUCUUAUCACAGGAUCACACAAUAUUCUGAUUUGGAAGGAAACCCAAAAGGAUCAUCAAAAUCCAACUCCUGGCCCUGCACAGGACACUUCCGAGAAUCACACCAUGUGCCCCAUGAGUGCUUUGGAUAUGAGAUUGCCAGUUUCCUACACUUCCAUAACUUCAGGUGGAUCCUGAUCACAAGUCACCUCUGCACCCAGCAGCUGGUAUUCAAUAGCUUGCUGCCAAGUGAGAGAAGUUUUUUACAGCGCCCAGUUGCUUGCCUUUUUAAUUCUUCAUAA
rnacentral:lncRNA from 1 species